rnacentral:rRNA from 1 species
UAGGGAAUAUUGGUAAUCUGGGAAACCGGGAACCAGCAACGCCGCGUGUGCGAUGAAGGCCUUCGGGUUGUAAAGCACUUUUGAGGGGAUGAAAAAGGACAGUACCCUCAGAAUAAGUCUCGGCUAACUACGUGCCAGCAGCCGCGGUAAGACGUAGGAGACGAGCGUUAUUCGGAUUUACUGGGCGUAAAGCGCGUGCAGGCGGUUUGGUAAGUUGGAUGUGAAAGCUCCCGGCUCAACUGGGAGAGGUCGUUCAAAACUGCCAGACUAGAGAAUAGGAGAGGGAGGUGGAAUUCCGGGUGUAGUGGUGAAAUGCGUAGAUAUCCGGAGGAACACCGGUGGCGAAGGCGACCUCCUGGCCUAUUUCUGACGCUCAGACGCGAAAGCUAGGGUAGCAAACGG